UUCGGGCAUACCAUCCCUUUUACCGAAUAUGCACGUCUCAUCAUAUACAAUAGGCAGAUAAACUUUCACAUAAAAGUGAGCUCAUGUGACAUAGAUAUAUCGUAUGAUUUCACAUAACCUCUCACACUGAUCCGAUGUCACAUAAUCAUAGGAAUAGUCUCAUAGAUUGCUCUCGUAUGCAUCACAUAACUACCUUAUGAUUUAGCGCAAAUCAGGCUCACAUAUAAACUUGGAGUACAUACCUGUUUAACCUUUCGCAUUGAGUAUAUUUAUAAGCAAUUCUUAUUACGAAGUCUUACCCGGACAUAAUCUCCACACGAAGUUAUCGGGUCUUACCCGGACAAAAUCCCCACACGUAGUCAUCGGGUCUUUAGAGCUCGGAUAUAGUACGAGCACGAAGCUUAUGGACAUUAAUCAGUGAUAAUAUUCUCGCAUAAAGCCUGCGGGGUUUUAACCCGGAUAUAGUACUGACACAAAUGCCGUUCGGGACUUAUCACAUUCAUCACAUCGGCACCCAUCACGUUGGCCACUCGGCCCUGUCACAUAUAUACACUUUCACAUUCAUCACAUCGGCCAUUAGGCCUUAUCACAUAUAUACACUUUCACAUUCAUCACAUCGGCCAUUAGGCCUUAUCACAUAUAUGCAUGUUCACAUCCAUCACAUAGAAUCCUAAAUCAAAAUAUAGAUUUUCAUGUAUUCACAUCACAAUUAUCCAAAUAUACUUCACAUACCACAUAUACUUUCACGUAUACAAACUGUCUUGGCUGAAUCUACAUCUAUCAUUUUCCAAUAUCACAAUUUAUAAUUCACGUAUGGGUUUAAUCAAUAGCUUAUGAGCAACUAAAACAAGUUUAUCAAGGUUUACAACACAAUCUCAAAUUCAGCACAAGCUGUUUUUCCUGAGCAAUAGUCACUAAAUUAUUUAUAACUGGAGCUAAAAAACUCCAAAUCACUUUCCGUUAAUUUUUCCUGAAUAUAAACUCGUAUAUCUUCCAUCCAUAAAAUUUCCAGAAUUUUAGGUUUGGCCAAUCAAUACCAGAUUUUUCUUAAAGUUUCCCCUGUUUCACUGUUUGACUAAUCUGACCACUCUUCACUACGAAUCAAAUUUCUCAUUUUACAGAAUUCAAAAUGUGUUGUAUUUGAUUUAAUUUGAAACUAUACUCAUUAAGGAGUCUAAGCAUAUAAAUUUUAUCUUAUAACCAUUUUUGUACAAUUUAUAAUGAUUUUCUAAAAACAGAACAGAGGAUUACAGCGUCAUUCUGCGCUGUCUCACACAACUUUAAGUAUCUCAUUGUCGGAAAUCCCUUUGCUUACACGGUUUCUUUUAUAAGAAACUAGACUCAUUAAGCUUUAAUUUCAUAAUUUAUUCAGCCUCCCAUUCAACUCCAAAAAUUUAUGGUGAUUUUCUAAAUUCAUGUUACUGCUGCUGUCCUGAGCAGGUUUAUCACAAUUUUACUCUUCUGACAUAUCCUUUUAGCACUUCAUAAUAUCAUAUCCAUUUGGCAACAUAUCAUAUCAAUAACUUACCUAUACUUCAUAAUAGCCAUUAGGCUAUAUGCAUAAAAAUUUACAAUAGAGUUAUGAUUCUUUUAAUAUGUGCUUAACAUAUCAUACUCAAUCACAUUAUAGGCUUUAAUACUUAAAACUUACAAAGGAAUCAAACUCAAAUACUUAAGAACUUACCUUGAAUUUGAUCGACUUAGUACAAAUCGGCUAUUCAACUACUUUCUCUUUUCCCCUAUCCGAAGUUGGUGUCCUUUGUUCUUGAGCUUAGAAAUUGGCCUCCAAAAGACCGAACAUUCCCAAAACACUUUCCCCUUUUUCUUUCUUUAGUUUCGGCUAGAACCCAAAAACAAUGAAGUCUCCACUCCUUCCCUAGCUCACGGCACUUCAAGAAAAGAAAGAAGAUGAAGACUUUAUCUUGCUUUCUUAUUUUAUUCCCCCUUUCUUUUCUUUUUUUGAUCUAUUUUAAUCAUUUACUAAUAAAAGCAUCAUUAAAAAUUCAACUUAAUGGAAGAACCAUCCUUGCUUGGCCGGCCACUACUUGAGGUUUGGGUGAUUUGACAUGCAAACCCAAGUUUCCUCACUUUGUUAUCAUUUGAUCCUUACAUAUUCCCCUAUCAUAUUUUCUUAGGUUCUCAACUAAGUCAAUCACAUGAAAUUCACCGUCAUAAGUCUAAAUUAAAACAUCAAAUUUUCACACAUGCACUAUGGUUUAAAUUCAUGAACAAUUACAUAAAAAUCACAUUAACAUACCUUUGAUUUAUGAACUAACCAUGGCCGAAUGCCUUGGCUUCUUCUUCUCCUUUUUUUUUCUUUCACUAGUUACGACAAUGGGGAAAAG
rnacentral:lncRNA from 1 species